UACGGAGGGGGCAAGCGUUGUUCGGAAUUACUGGGCGUAAAGGGCGCGCAGGCGGCUGCUCAAGUCAGGCGUGAAAGGCCUGGGCUCAACCCGGGAAUUGCGCUUGAGACUGGGCUGGCUUGAGUGCGGGAGAGGAUGGUGGAAUUCCCAGUGUAGAGGUGAAAUUCGUAGAUAUUGGGAAGAACACCGGUGGCGAAGGCGGCCAUCUGGACCGCAACUGACACUGAGGGACGAAAGCUAGGGGAGCGAAUGGG
rnacentral:rRNA from 1 species